rnacentral:rRNA from 1 species
AAUUUGAAAUCUGGCCCUUUCGGGGUCCGAGUUGUAAUUUGUAGAGAGUGCUUCGGGUGAGACUGCGGUCUAAGUCCAUUGGAACAUGGCGUCCCAGAGGGUGAGAAUCCCGUAUGUGACCGUGGCUCGAGCCCAUGUGAAGCCUCUUCGACGAGUCGAGUUGUUUGGGAAUGCAGCUCUAAAUGGGUGGUAAAUUUCAUCUAAAGCUAAAUACUGGCUGGAGACCGAUAGCGCACAAGUAGAGUGAUCGAAAGAUGAAAAGCACUUUGGAAAGAGGGUUAAACAGUACGUGAAAUUGUUGAAAGGGAAGCGCUGGCAACCAGACCUGCCCGUAGGCGAUCACCCGUUGUUCUCAGCGGUGCACUCGUGCUGCGAUCAGGCCAGCAUCGGUUCGGGCGGGCGGAUAAAGGUCUUGGGAAUGUAGCUCUCUUUCGGGGGAGUCUUAUAGCCCUUGAUGUAAUGCGCCCAGCCGGGACCGAGGACCGCGCUUCGGCUAGGAUGCUGGCGUAAUGGUUGUCAGCGACCC